CAUGAGUGCACGACUCUCCUAACCAUUUGUGAACCUACUUAUACCUGUUGCUUCGGCGGGCGGCCAGCGCCCCCAAGGGCCCCCGCCGGGCGCCAGCAGGAGGAUACCAACUCUUUCGACCACUAGUGACUCUCUGAGUAGUUCUUAGCUGAACUAGUCA
rnacentral:misc_RNA from 1 species